CGAUUUAGCUCAGUUGGUAGAGCAACUCCCUCGUAACGAGUAGGUCAAUGGUUCAAAUCCGUUAAUCGGC
rnacentral:tRNA from 1 species